CGGUUCUCCUCUUCCUCUUUCAGUCCAUAACGCUUUUAAGAGUAAGCCUGCAGUCUGCCUUCCGACGUCUCCUGCUCCGCUCCGCUCCGCUCUGCUCUGCCUUGGGCAGAAGGAAGGCAGAAUGAGCCAGACGCUGACAAAUGGGACGCCUGCAAGCAUGCUGAUGUGUCCUGUCUGUACACCUCUCCCAUGUAUGUGAAAGGGAGAGCAAAGAGGCUCUUGCAGCAAAGUCAAGCGAGGGAGGCCUCGGUCAGCUGCAAGCAUGCAUGGCUGAUGUCCUGACAAACAAAACAAUGUCAUUUCUGCCAAGUGGGUGUCAACCAGAUCGCAUACAAAACCCUUUUUUUUCCUAUUGUGUUAUGAUUGUUUUUUUAGUGGUGAGUUUCUCUCAAGCUGGCUUUAUUUGAUCUAAAUUCACUUCUGUGCCAUUAUCGGAUACAAUCCAGUGAGAACAACCGUAGCUUCAGAGAAAAUGAUAAACACAAUCAAUGCUUGGUGAGGUAUUGAUUCAAGUGAAGUGUCUAUUUUGAGGUGAUGCAUUGUGCUUUCUA